rnacentral:misc_RNA from 1 species
UGUUUGGGUCUUGGAUUCUCUUGCAGGCUUUCUCCACUGUCUUUCAAUGAUUCCCAAACAUGGUAAAGCUUAGGAACUGACCAUUCCUCUCUAUAGAUUCACCUUCACCAUACUUUUCUCCCUCUCUCUCUCUCUCGCGCUCUCUCACAAAGGAAACAUUUUCCCUGCCAACACCUCUCUGCCAAGCCGUACCCUCUCCAUCUCCACCCCCUUUUUCCUCAUCUCCACCGCCAACCACCCCCACUUCCUCCACCUACUCCUCCUUUCACAACACCAUGUCUUCUCUCUCCGACACUCCUCAGAUGUUAGGUAUUGCUUUUUGAUUCACUUUCUGCAUGGAACCUCAGGGUUUUUAAAUUCCCAUAUAUAUUCAUAUCCUUCCUUCAUCAGCUCAAACAGGAGAGAGAGAGAGAGAGA